rnacentral:sRNA from 1 species
CUUUCGUUAGGGAUGGUAGUGAUAUCCUUUAUUGCCGGGGUUCGGCAAUAAAGAUAUAACGAACAACCCAACCCUUG